rnacentral:misc_RNA from 1 species
AAGUCGUAACAAGGUUUCCGUAGGUAUUGUCGGAAAUAGAUUUUGAGUCAGGAAUCUCUGCCCAAUGAGACGCACAGUUACCAUAGAAGCGCUAGUUCUAUCGGCAUUGUUUCCCUAAGCAGUCAGGCGUGAAAGUGGUCAACUGAUUGUGACCCGCUUUCCCGAUGCCCCCUACACGUGCCGAUUUCUCUUAAAAGCUCCAUUGUCAAUUAUGGAUGGGGUAAAACCGAACAACUGUUAACAAUGGAUAUCUUGGUUCUC